CUGUUUAACAAAAACAUCGCCUUUAGCCCCACAAGUAUUAAAGGUCCCGCCUGCCCAGUGAAUAUUUUUAACGGCCGCGGUAUCCUAACCGUGCAAAGGUAGCGUAAUCACUUGUCCCCUAAAUAGGGACCUGUAUGAAUGGCUAACUGAGGGCACACCUGUCUCCUGCGGCCAACUAAUGAAACUGAUCUACUGGUACAAAAGCCAGAAUACCCCCACAAGACGAGAAGACCCUGUGGAGCUUAUAACCCCCUCACGCUACCAGACCUGCCCCAACCACGCACACCUGACUAGCGGACGGUUUAAGUUGGGGCGACUACGGAGCACAAUAAACCCUCCAAGAAAUAAGGGGCUCACCCCCCGCUACAAGGCCUACACGCCAACAAGACACCCCUUCGACCCAGUAUA
rnacentral:rRNA from 1 species